UACGUAGGGGGCAAGCGUUGUCCGGAUUUAUUGGGCGUAAAGAGCGUGUAGGCGGCCGUACAGGUCAGCUGUGAAACUCGAGGCUCAACCUCGAGACGUCGGUUGAAACCGUACGGCUAGAGUCCGGAAGAGGAGAGUGGAAUUCCCGGUGUAGCGGUGAAAUGCGCAGAUAUCGGGAAGAACACCCGUGGCGAAGGCGGCUCUCUGGGACGGUACUGACGCUGAGACGCGAAAGCGUGGGGAUGCAAACAGG
rnacentral:rRNA from 1 species